rnacentral:rRNA from 1 species
UCGAAAUUGAAAGGCGGCUUCGGCUGUCACUUAUGGAUGGACCCGCGUCGCAUUAGCUAGUUGUGAGGUAACGGCUCACCAAGGCAACGAUGCGUAGCCACCUGAGAGGGUGAUCGGCCACACUGGGACUGANACACGGCCCAGACUCCUACGGGAGGCAGCAGUAGGGAAUCUUCCGCAAUGGACGAAAGUCUGACGGAGCAACGCCGCGUGAGUGAUGAAGGCUUUCGGGUCGUAAACUCUGUUGUUAGGGAAGAACAAGUGCUAGUUGAAUAAGCUGGCACCUUGACGGUACCUAACCAGAAAGCCACGGCUAACUACGUGCCAGCAGCCGCGGUAAUACGUAGGUGGCAAGCGUUAUCCGGAAUUAUUGGGCGUAAAGCGCGCGCAGGUGGUUUCUUAAGUCUGAUGUGAAAGCCCACGGCUCAACCGUGGAGGGUCAUUGGAAACUGGGAGACUUGAGUGCAGAAGAGGAAAGUGGAAUUCCAUGUGUAGCGGUGAAAUGCGUAGAGAUAUGGAGGAACACCAGUGGCGAAGGCGACUUUCUGGUCUGUAACUGACACUGAGGCGCGAAAGCGUGGGGAGCAAACAGGAUUAGAUACCCUGGUAGUCCACGCCGUAAACGAUGAGUGCUAAGUGUUAGAGGGUUUCCGCCCUUUAGUGCUGAAGUUAACGCAUUAAGCACUCCGCCUGGGGAGUACGGCCGCAAGGCUGAAACUCAAAGGAAUUGACGGGGGCCCGCACAAGCGGUGGAGCAUGUGGUUUAAUUC